AGAGUUUGAUCCUGGCUCAGGAUGAACGCUGGCGGCGUGCUUUAAGCAUGCAAGUCAAGGGGCCAUAGCAAUAUGGUACCGGCGGACGGGUGAGUAACGCGUGGGAAUCUUCCCAGAAGAGGGGCAUAGCCAGCCGAAAGGUUGGGUAAUUCCCCAUGUGAUCGAAAGAUUAAAGGCGCAAGCCGCUUCUGGAUGAGCCCGCGUCCUAUCAGCUUGUUGGUGGGGUAAAAGCCUACCAAGGCGACGACGGGUAGCUGGUCUGAGAGGAUGGUCAGCCACAAUGGGACUGCGACACGGCCCAUACAUCUACGGAUGGCAGCAACUGGGAAUCAUGGACAAUGGACGAAAGUCUGAUCCUGCGACGCCGCGUGGAGGAUUGAAGGCCUUAGGGUUGUAAACUCCUUUUGCAUAGGAAGAUUAUGACGGUACUAUGCGAAUAAGCACCCGCUAAUCACGUGCCAGAAGCCUCGGUAAUACGUGAGGUGCGAGCGUUAUCCGGAUUCAUUGGGCGUAAAGAGUUGCGUAGGCGGAUUUGCGCAUUUUGUUUAAAAGCCCGGAGCUCAACUCCGGUUUUGGGCAAAAUAUGGCAAAUCUAGUAGGAUAGAGAGGGUACUGGAACUGAUGGUGUAGCAGUGAAAUGCAUUGAUAUCAUCAGGAACACCAAAGGCGUAGGCAGGUACCUGGCUAUCUCUAGACGCUGAGGCACGAAAGCUAGGGGAGCGAAGCAGAUUAGAGACCUGCGUAGUCCUAGCCGUAAACGAUGGAUGCUAGUUACCCGGGGUUUCCUGGGUGACGCAAGGUAACCCGUUAAGCAUCCCGCCUGGGGAGUACGAGCGCAAGCUUAAAACUCAAAGGAAUUGACGG
rnacentral:rRNA from 1 species